AAGGCGAACGCUCCUUCAUCAAGGAGAACCAUCCCGACGCGGACAUCUCUGGCGACAUGGCUGGUGGGUAGGCCCUCUCCUCUUCCCUACCGACCAGAUCCAUCGAGCACGUCUCCUAGCACACGGGAAGGUGCGCCCCUCUCCCCUCCCCCUCCCUUCUCUGUUUGAUUCGGUUAUGUAGCUGUGGAUUCGGUUUCAUCAAGUCCACUACAUCUGGCGGCCCUUGCUGAAAUUCCAGAUCGAUCAUGCCCAUAAUUUAGCCAAUAAUGAUCUCUCCCGAUCCCGACAAUGAUAGGCGUAUCUCCAAAGUGUUGUUUUUCUGCGGGCAACAUCUCAAGACUUUGGCGUACACUGCUACAUGGGGAGAAACUAACCUGCUUUUCCACUGCAUUCUUUUGUGUAAGAUGUUGUUUGCCCAGCAACUACCUGCGAUUCUAGCAGCUGUACAAGGACCCUCCAUCGAGAAGCCAGGCUAGGGAAAAGCAUAAUCACACUGGCCUACAUGUCCUGCAGACUGAACUUAUAUAUUGUGCAUCUCGAAAUAACUAUCAGCUAUAUCCUGAGUGCCGAAUACUUUUAGUUGUAUGUACAAAAUACUGAAGCAAUAUAAUCUUCACAGAUAUCCAUGUGUGUUUGAUAUUUGCUUUAUGAAGCAGGGAGAGAGAGGAGAGCUGGAAACUAAAUGGACCCUCAAAUGGCCGGUACAAGAGAGUUUAUGGUGUUUUACUAAACCCCAAAGUUCUACCUCUGUAACUGUAGGGAAUUAAUGGAGUUAUUCUGCCAUCUCAAAAUGAUGGAUAUUUUGCCUCUCAACUGAGAAGAUUACUAUGUUAUAUUUGUUGUGGCUACUUAUUCUAUUGGAUGUAUUCUCCAUGAGUCCCCAUGAGAGACUAAAUUCUCCAGAACAAUUCAACCCAGUCAUAUGAUAAAUAUGGUGCAUCAUAAUAUCAUGUAACUCAGGUACUACCUCGACGAUGUUAACGCUAUACAUAUUGCUAUAAUCAACGCUAUUUUUUACCUGCUUGAGAUUCUUAGUGUUUUAACAUCUCUUUCUGUUAUAGUGUUAAUGCAUUAUUCAAUAAAGGAGUAUGCGUACAAAUGGUUAACUAUAUCUAGCAACAUUCUACUCAAUAUUAAAGAAGCUGCACCAUUUGAAACCUUGGUACAGAUGCUUUCAAUUGUUUGCACUUCAAUGGGCUGUGUUUGAUUAUUGAUUGAGUGUGUUAUUCAAAAGAAAAUCUUUUCUGAACUUUAGAAGGGGAGCAUCGUGAGAGAUUGGGAAAGAGGCAGAGCACAUGUUCAUAUCUCGUAGUGCAUCGAACGGCUCUGGAUGACCAGCUUUUAAACAUGUGUGUGGACCAAAUUCACGGCGAUGAGAUAAGUCCUACUAACCUUGCUGGUUCUCCGCAUCAUUGAGAUAUGCUCUGGUUGUCCUACGGAUGUUCUUUGGACUACGAUAUUGACAUGAAGACAUUUAUCGUAAUGCCAAAUUUUAUGUAGUAAUGCCAAAUAUUAUGACAUGGAUGUGUUAUGGAUUAUGCUAUAUAUACAUGGAUGUGCUAUGGAUUAUGCUAUAUAUACAUGGAUGUGUUAUAUGCUGUAUGGAUUAUGGAUGUGUUAUAUGUUGUAUGGAUUAAGGAUGUUAUAUAUAUGAUGUAUGGAUUAAGGAUGUU